rnacentral:tRNA from 1 species
GGGAAUGGUUAGGUCCUGGUGGGCUUCCUGGUCUUCAAAAUCAGUGUCGGGUCGCAAGAGCCGAGGUGGGUUCGACUCCCAUCCAUUCCCGC